rnacentral:lncRNA from 1 species
CACCGGCGCGAGGAACAAGAGGGGCUCGGCCACCCACGGGAUUGUCUCGCCAGACGAGAGCAACGAGGAACGAACGAGCGGAUGAGGGGGCAAAUGACGUUAGGGUCUUGGCAGGGGAUGGGCUCUAGCCCUUUUUGUUUUACCGAAAGCCACGCCUGACCGUCGGAUCUCAUCCGACGGCCGAGGCUGAAACCCUAGCUAAAAGAGGCUGCAGGCCACCACGGGUCUUUUGGGCCGAAUCCGCCGCGCCAGGCCGAGGCCACCUAGGGCUGCACAAGAGUUGCGGCGCGCCUGGCCGAGAAGGGGCAAUGCAGGCUGGCGGCACCCAGGCCGGCCCAUGCUGGCCUUUUCUUUUUAAAUGACAAUUUUGUUUUCUGUCAAGUUUUUGGCAGAGUCAAAAGUUUUUUCUAGGCAUUUUUUCCUAGGGGGGGGGGGGGGGUUAUAAAAGAGAUUAUAUAUAAAGUUCAUGAAUUUUUUAAUUAUGACAGAACAUUUUUCUGUUAUAGUAACAUGUUUUUUAUGAAAAGAAAAAUAAAAGAUUCUAAAAAUAAAAGAAAGAUUUUCAGAAAAAGAAAAAUUCAUGGAUUUUAUAAAAGAGAUUAUAAAGUUCAUGAAUUUUUAAUUUUAACAGAAUAUUUUUCUGUAAAGGUGCAUGAAUUUUCAUAUUCACGUUUUUCUGCUGCAAAGUAAAAAGGNNNNN